AAAGUCCUAGCUUAAUUAAAGUGUCUGAGUUGCAUUCAGGUGAUGUAGAAUAGAGUUCUACGGACUUUA
rnacentral:tRNA from 1 species